ACAUUUCAAAGAACUCUGAAAUGGCAAACCAAAAAGGGUUACAUGUAGUGAUGAUGAUCAUCACUGUUUGGCUUCUUUAUGCAGCACCUAAUAUCCAUGGAUGGGGAAAAGAAGGUCAUGAAAUCAUCUGUAAAAUCGCUCAGGUUUUGAUUUUUUCAUCUACUUUUUCUUUCAGACUAUAAACUAAGUAUGUAAUAAUUUAAUAAAUUAAAGGAGAAAAAUAGACUAGGUUGGAUGAAACAGCAGCAAAGGCCGUGAAAGAGCUGUUACCUGAAUCUGCAGAAGGAGACCUCUCAAGCUUGUGUCUUUGGGCUGAUCGUGUCAAGUUCAGAUACCACUGGUCUUCUCCUCUUCAUUACAUCAACACUCCUGAUGCAUGCUCAUACCAAUACAAUAGUGAGCGUUUUUAUUAUAAUAUCCAUAUCACAAAAAAAUUAAAAGCAUAAGUGUUGUGUAUCCAACCACAUUUCCUUUGUUUCGGGUCCAAAGGGGACUGCAAGGACGAAUCUGGAGAGAAAGGAAGAUGUGUUGCGGGAGCCAUUUACAACUACACCACACAGCUUCUUUCCUACAAAACUGCAGCUUCAUCUC
rnacentral:lncRNA from 1 species